AGCGAACGUUAGCGGCGGGCCUAACACAUGCAAGUCGAACGCGAAAGGUCUUCGGACUGAGUAGAGUGGCGCACGGGUGAGUAACACGUAGGUAAUCUACCCUUUGGCGGGGGAUAACGUUCCGAAAGGAGCGCUAAUACCGCAUAGGACCACGGAGUCUCCGGACGCUGUGGGAAAAGGUGGCCUCUUCUUGAAAGCUACCACCGAAGGAUGAGCCUGCGUCCCAUCAGCUAGUUGGUAAGGUAAUGGCUUACCAAGGCGAAGACGGGUAGCUGGUUUGAGAGAAUGAUCAGCCACACUGGCACUGGAACACGGGCCAGACUCCUACGGGAGGCAGCAGUGAGGAAUAUUGGGCAAUGGGCGAAAGCCUGACCCAGCCACGCCGCGUGAGUGAUGAAGGCCCUCGGGUCGUAAAGCUCUGUGGAGAGGGACGAAAACCCUGGUUUCAAAUAGGCUCCAGGCUUGACGGUACCUCUUUAGCAAGCACCGGCUAACUCUGUGCCAGCAG
rnacentral:rRNA from 1 species